ACAAACCCCAGGCUGCCAGAGUACAGCGCACAAACUUAACCACUAUGUCAUCGGUCCAGCCCCUGACUUGUGUUUUAAAAGAAACCCUUUGGCUGUUGCACAGAGCCCAGUGAGGAGGCUAGUGAACCCACCCAGACUCAAUCAAACGGUGGAGUCUAAUGUCCUCCUUUCCCAAAGGUUGUCCUCUGAGUCUGUCUUGAUGAACAGAAGGCAGCAGAAGCGAUGCUACAUGACUUCUGAUAAAUCAUGAAGGACCACAUGGCUUCCGCCAGCUCUAUCUCUCAGGACACUCACCUUUGGAACCCAGUCUCUGUUUUGUGAGGAUGCCCAGGCCACACGGAGAGGCCUCAUGUAGGUGUAGCCGGAAGCCCAGCUGAGAUUCCCGCCACCAGCCAGAAUCAACCGCCAGCCAGGGGAGUAAAUGAGCCUUCAGGAGGCUUCAGCCCCAGGCAUUGAGUUAUCCUCGGCCCUCAAGUCUUCGAGCUGAGGCCCUGGACGUCGUGGCACAGCGGCAAGCCGUCCUCACCAUGCCCUGUCUGAAAUCCUCUCUCCUAAGAACAAUAAAUGGAUGUUUUA
rnacentral:lncRNA from 1 species